GACCUGGUGGUGUAGCUGGUAACACACCUGCUCUGCUUAAAUAUGGAUAUGUAAAAUUAAGCAGGAGUCCCUCGUUCAAUUCGGGGUCAGGUCA